rnacentral:lncRNA from 1 species
GGGUUUGGUAGCUUGUUUUGUUUUAUUUUCUGUUCUCCGAAUUAUUUCAGGGUUGUAGUUCGGGAUCUGUCUUGUUUUGUCCUUUUGUUGUUUAUGUUCAAACUCUUCUAUAUUUUAUUUUGACUAAAUGAAGUGUCUCAUUUUCCUUUGUGUUUUAAAUAUGUGUUGUUUGUUUGUUUUCUUUACAUAGUACAUUUUGUGUUGACUCUAGUGAUAUGACAUGCUAGUGAAAUUUUCAGUC